CAAUAGCGUAUAUUAAAGUUGUUGCAGUUAAAAAGCUCGUAGUUGGAUUUCUGGUGGGAGCGAUCGGUCUGGCGCUUAGCGCGAGUACUUGCAUCGUCUCCGGCCAUCCUUGGGGAGAGUCUGUCUGGCAUUAGGUUGUCGGGCAGAGGAUCCUCAUCGUUUACUGUGAAAAAAUUAGAGUGUUCAAAGCAGGCUUAUGCCGUUGAAUAUGUUAGCAUAGAAUAAUAAGAUAGGACUUUGGUACUAUUUUGUUGGUUUGCGCACCAAAGUAAUGAUUAAUAGGGACAGUUGGGGGUAUUCGUAUUCCGUUGUCAGAGGUGAAAUUCUUGGAUUUACGGAAGACGAACUACUGCGAAAGCAUUUACCAAGGAUGUUUUCAUUAA
rnacentral:rRNA from 1 species